rnacentral:rRNA from 1 species
UGCAGAAUCCCGUGAACCAUCGAGUCUUUGAACGCAAGUUGCGCCCGAUGCCAUUAGGUUGAGGGCACGUCUGCCUGGGUGUCACAUAUCGAAGCCCCUUCCCAAUUUCCUAUUUAAUAGGUAUUGUGUGCAGGGUGAUUAUGUUGGCCUCCCGUGAGCUCUGUCUCACGGUUGGUUGAAAAUUGAGACCUUGGUAGGGUGUGCCAUGAUAGAUGGUGGAUGUGUGACCCACGAGACCAAAUCAUGUGCUGCUCUAUUGAAUGUGGACUCUUUUACCCACAUGCGUUUUGUAACGCUCGUGAUGAGACCUCAGGUCAGGCGGGGCUACCCGCUGAAUUUAAGCAUAUCAAUAAGCGGAGGAAAAGAAACUAACAAGGAUUCCCUUAGUAACGGCGAGCGAACCGGGAUAAGCCCACCAUGAGAAUCGAUUGCCCUCGGCGUUCGA